AUUGAACGCUGGCGGCAGGCCUAACACAUGCAAGUCGAGCGGAUGAAGGGAGCUUGCUCCUGGAUUCAGCGGCGGACGGGUGAGUAAUGCCUAGGAAUCUGCCUGGUCGUGGGGGCUAACGUCCGGAAACGGGCGCUAAUACCGCAUCCGUCCUGAGGGAGAAAGUGGGGGAUCUUCGGACCUCACGCUAUCAGAUGAGCCUAGGUCGGAUUAGCUAGUUGGUGGGGUAAAGGCCUACCAAGGCGACGAUCCGUAACUGGUCUGAGAGGAUGAUCAGUCACACUGGAACUGAGACACGGUCCAGACUCCUACGGGAGGCAGCAGUGGGGAAUAUUGGACAAUGGGCGAAAGCCUGAUCCAGCCAUGCCGCGUGUGUGAAGAAGGUCUUCGGAUUGUAAAGCACUUUAAGUUGGGAGGAAGGGCAGUAAGUUAAUACCUUGCUGUUUUGACGUUACCAACAGAAUAAGCACCGGCUAACUUCGUG
rnacentral:rRNA from 1 species